CAAUUCUCUGAAGUGCAGACUCUAUAGGCUGAAUUGCAAGCUGAGAGGCAAGACACAGAUGUUCAAGCCCCGGCCCAGGGCUAGCCCCAGACUGGUUAUCUGUAAAGCAAGAUUAUAAUGUGCUCCUGGGACACCCGACAGAUGUUUUUUGGAACUGGCAUAAAGCUCUUUGUGGAGCCCCAAAGCCAGCCUCCUGCCAAGCCAUCUGUUUUCAUCAUGAAAAACGGAACAAAUGUUGCUUGUCUGGUGAAGGAUUUCUACCCCAAAGAGGUGAAUAUAAGUCUGAGAUCAUCCAAGAAGAUAGCUGAAUUCGACCCUGCUAUAGUCAUCUCCCCCAGCGGGAAGUACAGUGCUGUCAAGCUGGGUCAGUAUGGAGAUUCAAACUCAGUGACAUGUUCCGUUCAGCACAACAGCGAAACUGUGCACUCAACUGACUUUGAACCAUAUGCAAAUUCUUUGGAUAAUAUAAAACCAGAACCUGAAAAUGACACACAAGACUCAGAGCCUUGCCGUGGCCCAAGAGUCAUAGUCCACACAAGGAAGGCAAACAUGAUGUCCCUCACAGUGCUGGGGCUCCGACUGUUGUUUGCCAAGACUGUUGCCAUCAAUUUUCUCUUGACUGCCAAGCUAUUCUUUUAAGGUAGGCUGGCAUGAGAAGACUACAGUUCCUAAAAGAAAUCAAAAGCUUAGAAAGAUGCUAUAUCCAAGGAUUCCAGCUUCUCAGUGCUUCAGACUGACUUCACCGCCACAUUUAAACAGCUGCUAGCAAAACCAGCUUUUCUGUGAAAGCAGCAAGCCUAGCUAAUCCUCCAGUCUAGAAGGAAAGGGAAAGUCAGCAGGAGAGGAGUGUGCCCUGGCUUUGCACGGCCACUUUACAAAGGCAUGGAGAACUAUGAAACCAGACCAAAGGCAUGGAGAACUAUGAAACCAGACCCAUUUUUUUUUCCCCUAUAACUGGAAUCCUUUGAAAAUGGUGUUUCGUCCUUCUUUAUUUACCUAGAACUAGAAAGUGGGGACCAGUAAAUCACCAGCCUCAUUAUCCAGGAGGAAAUGGUCUUGAGAGAACCCAUAUCUUUUUAGCUAAACAUGGAAAGGUGCACUCAACUCAUGCCUAGCCAGAGCCCUCUUCCCCUGAGGCACGUAUGGCCCACCCUCUGCAUUUGCUCCGCCCACCCUCUGCAUUUGCUCCGCCCACCCUCUGCAUUUGCUCCGCCCACCCUCUGCAUUUGCUCUCCCAGCCACGCAGAAGAGUUUUCCCAGCAGCACUAGGGUGUGAACAAUUUUAGCACUUUCUGUUUCUCCUAAUACUUUACAAACAAAAUCACAUUUGGCUUCCUUAAUGCUCUCCAAGCAGACAAUAAAGCUUCUAAAAUCGCA